rnacentral:rRNA from 1 species
UACGUAGGGUGCGAGCGUUGUCCGGAAUUAUUGGGCGUAAGGGCUCGUAGGCGGUUUGUCACGUCAGGAGUGAAAACUCGGGGCUCAACCUCGAGACGCCGAUGGAAACCCCCUGGCUAGAGUCCGGAAGAGGAGAAUGGAAUUCCUGGUGUAGCGGUGAAAUGCGCAGAUAUCAGGAAGAACACCCGUGGCUAAGGCGGUUCUCUAGUACGGUACUGACGCUGAGACGCGAAAGCGUGGGGAGCGAAACAGG